rnacentral:misc_RNA from 1 species
CUGGACUGUCCUGUAGCCCCCCUGGCUCUACUCCAGGUCGAGCUCUGGCUAGCGCUCUACGGCUCUAGUCUGUUAUAAAUGCAUACGCAGCUCUAUGACCCAGGCUAAUGAACCGGCGGUGUGGAGCAUGAUGGCUUGGGACAAACCUACAAAACCUGUGAUAUUAUAUGUUGUACUGUGCACAUAUCGUAGGCCAUAGUGGCUGUCAUUUACUGGUAGUGUGAGUAAGUUUGUGUACUGUAGUUACUUCAGUUGAACACCGGAAAAGUGAUUAAGAAGAAAAAGUGAACGAAUGAUUGUAUCUGAACAAGUGCGCAGCAAGUUCUUGCAUAACAACCUCGUCAAAAGUAAAGUGCCAAAGGUUCCGUGAACCAAAAUUUGCCUUUUAUAGCAAACUAUAGCAGUAAGGUUGAGCGCAGAGAACGCGAGGUAAAUACUAAACUUGUUAAGUAGGCAAGUGGUUUUGGCCAGAAAUAUCAUUUGCAGCGCGAGAAGACUGGCGGUAGCGAUGCCUAGCGGCGGGCCGAGUCGUCGUGACGCACCGGAGCUGGUGACGUCGUCCCGAGCGGGCCGAGGGCGGAGUGUGUCCCCGGGCGUCCUGCUCGGCCCGGGCCACGACCUGCCCUGCGCCUGCUGCGACCACCUCCACGCCCGCCUCCUCAGUCCGCCCCACGACUGCCACGCCAUCAGACACGCCUUAGACGAGCGCCGCCAGGGCGACCAAUAUAUUUCUAAACAUUCCAUAGAUAAGUGCUACGUUGCUGAAGGCUCCGUGGACGCUGAGUGCCAUCAGGAGCUCCAGCUCGCCAGGGGGGCUGAGGGGCGCCGCCGCCGCGUCCCCAGCUACCCUAUCGAUGCCGUCUGCCAUAUACUUCAGUUGCCUGCGGAGGUCGACAGAGGGGUCGAGUACCCGGCGGCGGCCCAGUCGAGGGAGGAUGUGGUCGAGGCGCUGCACGUCUCUCAGCGGGGCACCGUCGGGUACUUCGCCUCGCCGUCGCUGGAGCUCCUCGCCAACCUGGCGGUGCACGACACCUCCGACACCGACAGUGACCUGGGCGACCUCCUCCUCCCGCCCGCGGGGGAGCGCGUCACGCUCUAUGGCGACGACGACGACGAUGAUGAAGAUGAUGGUGACGACGUCGAGUUGCAGGGCAUCGUCGACGGCGAUGACGACGACGACGAUGAUAAUGACGUGUUGGGUGACAUUGGGGCCGGCUACGAAGGGGACGACAAUGACGAUGAUGAUGGUGACGACAGAGAUGAUGACGACGACGACACCGGCAACGACGAAGAGGGCAAAAGACACGACGUUCUCUUCUACGUCGGGAACGAGGACGACAUAUUCCAGUUCGAGAGCGGCAACGACUUCGGCGACAAGAAUAAUUACGAGAGCGACGUUAAGAUCUACCUGACUAGCGACGACCAGCAGUGUACGAGCAACGAGGAGUACACGACGGACAGCAGCCACGUGGCGGACGACGCUGCCUGCUGCAGGACGCCCGUGCAGCAGCGGGUCCACACCUCCGUCAGCUUCCCCAUGACCUCCACCAUCGCCCACCUGCUCCUCCCCCUCCAACCCCUGAUGAACGUCCUCCCCAGAGAGCUGGUCAGCGAGGUCGAGGACCUACAGAAGCUCUAUCCGGGGAUCUCGGAGGAUUACCUGCGGACCCUCUGUGAGUUUGGUCUCCUGGAGGAGGUUUCGCCGUCGGAAUCGACCACUCCCACGUCGACUCUCCAGAGGGGCCCCGUUAUCUCCCCCAGCAGGAUGUCGCUGGGGCGCAGAAGGUCGCGGUUUUGGAGCGAACUCCUGGCGGAUCAGGGCUCGGUGCAGGUGUCGCCCUAUGACACGCUCAACAGCCAGGCCGAGUACCGCGCCACGCCCUCAGUCCGCGGCCUCUUCCUCACCACUCCCACCUCCAGCGCCACCGUCGCCGGGACCAGUCCCAGGGAGCGGAAGAAAAGCCGGUUCUGGAUCGCGCCGCUACUGGUGGAGGGUUCGGCUGACUCGAACUACUCCCAGCCGUCCUCGGAUCUGUCGCUCGACGAAGAGAGAGAGAACCUGAGGCGCGAGACGGAGAGACAGGCACUCUCCCAGCUCGACAAGGCCAGGGGCGGACCUCUCCGUGGAGGGCGGGCCAACAGAAGAACCGAAGGGCAAGCCUUCGUCACCCUCCAGCAAGCUAGGACCAAGCCAGUAGCGUUCUCUGUGAGGACCAACGUGGCCUAUGAUGGCUCUGUGGAUGACGACUCCCCUGUGCACGGCUCCGCCAUCUCCUUCAACGUCAAGGAUUUCCUCCACAUUAAGGAGAAGUACGACAACAACUGGUGGAUUGGGCGCCUGGUGAAGGAAGGCUCAGACGUGGGGUUCAUCCCGUCUCCAGUUAAACUUGAAAACCUUCGGCUACAACAGUCGCAGCAGAAGACCUCCAAGCUGUAUUCCUCCAAAACUUCUUCCUCGGGUAACCUGGGCAUGAUCAAUGAUGUUCUGUCAAAUAGCAAGAGUUCCAACUCCCGCGGCUCAACUCCCCCUACCCCUGGACUUGAUCUCGACAACGGAAUAGACUCCAAUCUGGGUGAUGACUCCGAUUCCUUGGGCAACUCCAAGGGAAAAACCUCCAUCACUACACCACCAGCAAAAGAAAAACGGAAACCGUUCUUUAAGAAACAGGAGAACAUCCCUCCCUACGAUGUUGUGCCUUCCAUGCGCCCGCUAGUGCUUGUCGGCCCAUCCCUUAAAGGGUACGAGGUGACAGACAUGAUGCAAAAGGCGCUCUUUGAUUAUGUUAAGCACAGAUUUGAGGGAAAGGUAAUCAUCACAAGGGUGAGUGCCGAUAUCUCUCUUGCCAAACGGAGUCUUCUAAACAACCCCAACAGACGAGCAAUUAUGGAGCGCUCCAACUCUAGGUCGUCAUGUAUAGCAGAAGUUCAAGCUGAGAUUGAACGAAUAUUUGAGCUAGCAAGAACUUUACAACUAGUCGUUCUUGAUUGUGACACAAUAAAUCAUCCAUCACAGCUUGCCAAGACAUCUUUAGCCCCUAUUCUUGUAUAUCUCAAGAUUUCGUCUCCAAAGGUAUUACAACGUUUAAUAAAAUCUCGUGGCAAGUCUCAAAGUCGCAACCUUAACGUUCAAAUGGUUGCUGCAGAGAAAUUAGCUCAGUGUCCGCCAGAGAUGUUUGAUGUAAUUCUUGAUGAAAAUCAGCUUGAAGAUGCAUGUGAACAUAUAGCAGAGUAUCUUGAUGCAUAUUGGCAAGCAACGCAUCCUCCCCUUCCUCCUCCUCAAAUUCAGCGACCAAUUCCUUCACCUCAUACAAGCCCGCGGUCCAAUCAUGCGCAAGGAAACCUUUUGAGAACUAACACCACACCACCGGGUCCUCCCGGGUCCGUGGCUCGUGAGCCCGGCUACCCUCGCUAUACGGAUGAGAGAGGUAAUGCCCCGGGAAGCAACCCAUCCCAGUAGUUGGUGUGGCCCGUCUGGCUUGGCCACUGACAGCCUGUAUGGCCUAGUGGCCAGCCAGUAUGGCCCACCUUCCACGACAGCACUACACCAGCUGUCUACCAUCGAGGAGGGCCAACAGGACAUGGAGGAUCUCGCACACUUCCUUCACGUGACCCACGGGAUAUAAGAGAGCUUCGUGACCCUAGAGAUCUACGAGAUGAUGAGUAUGGCGACAGGCUUCCUACCCAAGAUCCUGGUCUUAUGUACGAUCGCCCACCAGAGCGACCUUCUGCACGAAGACAGCUACCCCCCACCAGGGAUGAUGAUUAC